GACGAACGCUGGUGGCGUGCUUAACACAUGCAAGUCGAACGGGAUUUAGUAAACAGAAGCCUCGGUGGAAGAUUACUAAUGAGAGUGGCGAACGGGUGAGUAACGCGUGAGCAACCUGCCUAUGACAGUGGGAUAGCCUCGGGAAACCGGGAUUAAUACCGCAUAAAAUCGUAGAAACACAUGUUUUAACGGUCAAAGAUUUAUCGGUCAUAGAUGGGCUCGCGUCUGAUUAGCUAGUUGGUGAGAUAACAGCCCACCAAGGCGACGAUCAGUAGCCGGUCUGAGAGGAUGAACGGCCACAUUGGAACUGAGACACGGUCCAAACUCCUACGGGAGGCAGCAGUGGGGAAUAUUGCACAAUGGGGGAAACCCUGAUGCAGCGACGCCGCGUGAACGAAGAAGGUAUUCGUAUCGUAAAGUUCUGUCCUAUGGGAAGAUAAUGACAGGACCAUAGAAGAAAGCUCCGGCUAAAUACGU
rnacentral:rRNA from 1 species